rnacentral:rRNA from 1 species
UACAGAGGGGGCAAGCGUUGUUCGGAAUUACUGGGCGUAAAGGGCGCGUAGGCGGCGUGCUAAGUCGAACGUGAAAUCCCCGGGCUCAACCCGGGAACUGCGUCCGAGACUGGCAUGCUUGAAUCCAGGAGAGGGAUGCAGAAUUCCAGGUGUAGCGGUGAAAUGCGUAGAUAUCUGGAGGAAUACCGGUGGCGAAGGCGGCAUCCUGGACCGGCAUUGACGCUGAGGAGCGAAAGCCAGGGGAGCAAACGGG